rnacentral:rRNA from 1 species
AUGAAGAUGAUGACAUGCAUCGUCGCUAGCAUCCUGCUGAUGCUUUCACUGGAGGCCUCCCUUCUGGUCGCCGGCCGCCCCUCGGUCGCCGACGACGUGGGCUCCAUCCUCCUGCCGAGCCAAGGCAAAGGUGGUGGUGGAGGUGCAGGUGCGGACGAGGAGUUCCAAGCAGCAGCAGUCAAUCGGGGGAGGCAGCCGUGGAAGUGCUGCGACCAGCCCAUAUGCAGCGGGUGGAAGUAUCCGGUCUGCGAGUGCGCGGACGAGGUCGACGAGUGCGCGCCCACCUGCAAGUCCUGCGUGCCGUCCAAGGCGAACGCCACCCGCAAAGUGUGCGAGGACACCUUCAUCGGCAAGGCAGGGCCCGGGUGCACGGAGAAGCCAUGGAAAUGCUGCGACGAGCCUUUCUGCUCCGGUGAGGACCCGCCGACGUGCCACUGCGCCGACGAGGUCGAGCAGUGCGCCCCGACCUGCAAGACCUGCCUGCCGGCGCUGCUUCACCCAUAG